GCCCACCACAGCCACCAUUAAUGUUAGGAUAAAGCUCAUCUAUCAACAGUGUUCUGCACAUGACUUAAUAUUUAUAUGUAGAGUUAAGCAUUAAACUCAGUGCUAGAGCAAGGCCAUAAUAGUGAUUUCAAGCUGUUAAACAUUUUAAUUGAUUAUUUUUAGAUAGUACUUUCAGCAUUAGCACCAGGGAAUGUUAACUAUAUACUUUACUUGAGCUCCACAUUCAUCCUAUACAGCUGUUUUUAAUAUAUUUAUUCAACAAAAUUAAUGUUACUUUAAUAGAAAACUCUCCACUGUUUAACCUGGUAGCAGCGACGGGCCAAAUUUGUGCCAUGAUUUAAAUCCCCCAAAACAGAUGAUGCAUCAACUGAUCACAAAUGCUUCGAUAUAUAUUAUGAAAUGGUUUGUGUGAGUGAUGAUUUUUUCUCAUUUUUCUUGCUUAGAGGGACCAUUAAGAAACAUGAUCCCCGCUGCUACCGGGUUAAAACUGACCCUAUUACGACCACCCAUGCGAUUAAUAAAAAGAAUAAGAAGUUGAGCAUGAAAGUGAGCACAAUCUGUUCAUGGAAGUUAAAGAGGAAAAAGGAAAAACUAUUGAGAGAAUAACAAUGAUUGAUAAUACUUCUUCUCUGUCCUUUGUGAGUCUGGAAAUUGAUAGGAACAUGGCAGUAUGAACCACAGAAAUAACAGAGUGAAUGAUUACAUAACAACUGAGAACAAGUCACUAUUGAAAGUAUAGUAAUAAUAAUGAAAAAUUAAUAAUAUGUAGUUGGUUAAUAAUAAUGAAGUAAUGAUAAAGGAGUGAUUAAAUAUAUCACAGCUGAGAACAAGUCAUCAUUUAAUGUCCAGUGAUAAUAAUAGUAAUAAUAAAGGGGCUAUUACACUGGGCAAAUUUUCCGUGGAUCUUCAGUCAAACCACGAUUUCCGCUAGCGUGGUUCUCAUUUGUUUCUUGUUAUUGCUGCUGAUGAUGAUGGUGAGUAAUACCGUCGUCCUUCCGUGAAAUCUACCGUAGCUUUGGAAGAUCGUGGACACGUCAGAAAACCACGGAAAUCUAAGAACCACGCCAGCGGAAAUCGUGGUUUGACUGAAGAUCCACGGAAAAUUUGCCCAGUGUAAUAGCCCCUUAAGUUAGUUAUUAAUAAUGGAGUAACAAUAAUGGAGUCAAUAAAUAUACCACAAAUGAGAGUAAGUCCAUCAUGCCCAAAAUAACACAAAUAAAUCAUGCUCACUUUUAAUGCUCAACCAUGUAUUAAGAAACCAAUCAAGGCAUUCAAAAUCAAUCUUCCACAAGCGCACUCAUAAUCAAAACCAUGCAAUGAAGCCAGACGUGAAGAUAACCGCAAGAUGCACACCCCACAUCGAUCCAAGUGCUGUGCUACGAGGGACAGAAAUGACACACACAUGCAUCACAGUCAGCACGGAGCAGUAAUGUCACACUUCACGGCAGCACACGCCACGAAUCAGGCCAACAGAACAAGGGUAGUCAUGAAUCCUCAGGCCAACAGAACAAGGGUAGUCAUGAAUCCUCAGGCCAACGGAGCAAAGGCACAUUCAUCAACUUCUUUCCACCAUUCCAGUUACAACUCAUACCAGAAAGAAAACUAAAACCAUCAAACUUAUAGCAGGAAAAUAAAAUGACUCUGAAUAAUUGGUCUGAUGUAUAACAAUAAACUAGCCCAAAUGAAAGUAAAGGUUCAUAAAUAAAAAUUCUCGUGAUUAAUAAUAAAAUAAAGUCUCCAGAUUUAUGCAAAAAGGGAAUAAAAAUGUCCCAAAACACUAGUGAAGUUUUGAAAGAAACUUGCAGAUUAAGGCCCCUUUCACACUUGCGGGCGAGGCCCGCAUCCAUGCUUAUAAAGCAGACGCAGGCCUUCCCGCAUAUCCUUUCAGACGGCGCGGGUGAAAACUGCCCACCACCCGCACGAAGGUGGAAGGAGGCAGAAGACAGGAAAAUGAAAUGAAAGCCAAGGAAAGCAAGGUCAUCUGGAGGAAAGGAGGGACAAAAAUAGAGCUGGAGAAGGAAGGGAGAUAAAGGAAUAAAAUUAAUAAAAUGAGAGACCAACAAUUAAGAUAGAUGGCAAAGUAAAAAAAGAAAAUGGGAAAAAAGGAGAGAAUGGAGAGGGAAGAUGAGGAAGUAAACACGAGGGAGAAGAGCAUCAAAAUUCUUCCCAUAAAUAAAGUUAAAAAUAAAAAGUGAAACAGGAAAAUGAAUGCACAACAAAUCACAUUGAAAUCAACCUGGAUGCUGAAAGAGUUUUAUUCGGAGAGAUGUGUGGGCCGCAGGCAUCGCCCGCGCCGUGUGAAAACACACAUUGAACACUGUACCCUUUGCUGCUAUGCACGGACGCGGGCCCGCAGAUGACCCAAGGGGGGCCCGCGUUGAAUUUCGCCCACACGCAGGUGACGUCCGCGGUGUGUGAAAGGUUCCAUAGAAAACAUCAAUCAUAAGUUGACGCGGAUCCACGUUAUAAGCAUGGACGCAGGCCUUGCCCGCAAGUGUAAAAGGGGCCUAACAUUUUCUUGUAUGGCCAAAAUUAAAGACUGGGAACACUUUACUUUGACAACACUGCAAAAUUUCAUACCUCAGCUGAAUAUUUUUGGGGUAUAUUAAUUUCCGAUAUGAAUAGUAAUUAGAAUGGUGGAUAUAGAUGGUCAAACAUACACUGGUGCCCAAAUGCAUAAUGAGGGGAGACUCAUAUAAACAGAGUUGCUUCAUCUCAGUUGUCCAAUUAUUACACAAGGUUCCAUUUUUAACAGCUCAGUUAGUUAAGUGCCAUUCCUGUAUUUAUCUACAGUGUUUAAAUUUUAAGCUUGUAUUAUAUUCACAUCUUCAGCGAGUAAAGUGGAAGUGUAGAGUAUCAUUGCACUUCCAUCUUUCUGUUCUUAGCCAUUUAUACGGAUUCAAAGUAAAAACCUCAAUAUAUUCUUUUUAGUAUUUCUGAACUUCAAAGAUCAAAGUCAAAAUGCAGUUGUAUGAAUAGAGCUUAGGCUCAUUAACAUAUCUGAAGGAACUGAUAUUUUGAGUAUUUCAGUUUUGGAGUUUUCAGAGAUCAAAGUCGAAAUGUAAUUGUAUGAAUAGAGCUUAAGUUAUCUGAAGGAACCAAGAUAUUUUGAUUAUUUCAGUUUUGGAGUUUUCAGAGAUCAAAGUCGAAAUGUAAUUGUAUGAAAAGAGCUUAAGUUAUCUGAAGGAACUAAGAUAUUUUGAGUAUUUCAGUUUUGGAGUCUUCAAAGAUCAAAGUUGAAAUGUAGUUGUAUGAAUAGAGCUUAGGUUAUCUGAAGGAACUAAGAUAUUUUGAGUAUUUCAGUUUUGGAGUCUUUGAUAAAUUAGACUUGAUAAACCUUGAAAUUCUUCCUCUCUUACAUAUUCAUCAAGUUUAUUUAGUUUGCCAAGUCAGGUGUAACAUAAGCUAUCCUUCACUGACUACACAACUCAAAGGAACCGAUUUUACAAAGAACCUAAAAGAAAUAACUAAAAUAUAAUAACUUCCCCUAAUGUCAUCACUUCAUACAAUUUGAUGGAUAAAUAAAACAAAAAAUAAUUGAACUGAUACCCAAUAUAUGUGGCAGACAACAUGACAGACAAACAAAUGAACAACAAUCAACAAGGAAAAUGCGGUACAUCAAUCAGGCUUGUAUCAAGGUUGCGUACUGAUAAAUACAUGAACCAACAAAGGAAACAACACAUUACAACAUAUCAAAGAGAUCAAGUAUACAUGCACUGUUCUCUCUCUCUCUCUCUCUCUCUCUCUCUCUCUCUCUUUCUAUUUUAUUUUUAGAGACAGGAUGAUUUUGUGCACCAUCUCCCUAUUCAAACAUCAUAAAAUUUAAUAUCCUCAUUCUCUCUCUCUCUCUCUCUCUCUCUCUCUCUCAUUUAAAAAACAAGCUCGACUGCCAAUUCCUUCAACUUGAUAUUCACUAAAAGUAGAAGUGCAAAGUCUUGGUGACAUGAAAUUUAAUAUGAUUUCACAAGGGUUUACGCUCACAGGGUUUGUGUGGGCUGAAUAUUUAUGUAAAUCUCUCUCUCUCUCUCUCUCUCUCUCUCUCUUAAACAACUCAUUCCCUAUCAUGGUUGCAGUUACAUACAAAUAGUGCAACCUAACCACCCACCCACCCACUCGGAUCAUGUGAGGGUAGUGUGGGUGGCAGUGUGGGUGGGGUGGGUGUGGGGAGGUGGAGGGUUGGUGGUGGAUGCAUAGAGACGGAGCUCAUGGCCAAGGUUAGUAGCCAGAGCAUGCGCGAGCCAGCAAUCAUGAGGCUGUUGCCAGAUUAUCGUAAUCAGAGCCGCUUAUUUACUGGUUUCUGGCCCAUAAUGGUUGGCAAGAAGCACCAAUAAUUAACCAUUUAAACAAUAACCAUAUAUGAAGGCAGUUUUGGGGUCGGAUAUCAGCAAACAUAAGAGGCAGAGUACGACUAUCUGGCAAUGUUGUCAUGAGGUGUGUGUAAUGGGAUCUUCAUUGUUCUACGCAGAAAAGAAGACUAGAUUAAUUUUUAUAAAGCAUAGAAGACUAGAUUCCUUAUUUUUAUACAGUUUUAGAGAAUAGACAAGACAAGGAAGAAAGAAUAAAGUAAAAUAAACGGAACAUGACAUGCCUACAAAUAAAGAAAACAGAUGAAGAUGAAAAGCAAGACAUGAUUAAGAAUGAGAUGGAGAUUAAGGUCGCAUGGGAGACUCGACAAAGGCAAAACAAGAAAAAAAGAAAGAUAGGAACGAGACACAAAAACGAGGCAGGUUAGUUGCCAAAACAUGCCAAAGCCGGAGAGAAAUUGACAGUCAAGAGGAAGGGAAUGGAAGUGAAUAGUUGUUUCUUUUAUUCAGUAUGGGAGACUAGAUUUGUUCAUUUUAAGACUUAGGUUUUAGGAGAUUAGUCAUUAUUUUUUAGGUUUUAGGAGAUUAGUCAUAUUUUUUUUAGGUUUUAGGAGAUGUCAUUAUUUUUUUUAGGUUUUAGGAGACUAGUCAUACUUUUUUUAGGUUUUAGGAGACUAGUCAUUAUUUUUUAGGUUUUAGGAGACUAGUCAUUAUUUUUUUAGGUUUUAGGAGACUAGUCAUUAUUUUUUAGGUUUUAGGAGACUAGUCAUUAUUUUUUUAGGUUUUAGGAGACUAGUCAUUAUUUUUUAGGUUUUAGGAGACUAGUCAUUAUUUUUUUAGGUUUUAGGAGACUAGUCAUUAUUUUUUUAGGUUUUAGGAGAUUAGUCAUAUUUUUUUAGGUUUUAGGAGAUUAGUCAUUAUUUUUUAGGUUUUAGGAGAUUAGUCAUUAUUUUUUUAGGUUUUAGGAGAUUAGUCAUUAUUUUUUAGGUUUUAGGAGAUUAGUCAUUAUUUUUUAGGUUUUAGAUUAGUCAUUAAUUUUUUAGGUUUUAGGAGAUUAGUCAUUAAUUUUUUAGGUUUUAGGAGCUUAGUCAUUAUUUUUAGGUUUUAGGAGACUAGUCAUUAUUUUUUUAGGUUUUAGGAGACUAGUCAUUAUUUUUUUAGGUUUUAGGAGACUAGUCAUAAUUUUUUUAGGUUUUAGGAGACUAGUCAUUAUUUUUAGGUUUUAGGAGACUAGUCAUUAUUUUUAGGUUUUAGAUUAGUCAUUAUUUUUUAGGUUUUAGGAGACUAGUCAUUAUUUUUUAGGUUUUAGGAGACUAGUCACUAUUUUUUAGGUUUUAGGAGACUAGUCAUUAUUUUUUAGGUUUUAGGAGAUUAGUCAUUAUUUUUUAGGUUUUAGGAGACUAGUCAUUAUUUUUUAGGUUUUAGGAGAUUAGUCAUUAUUUUUUUAGGUUUUAGGAGAUUAGUCAUUAUUUUUUUAGGUUUUAGGAGAUUAGUCAUCAUUUUUUAGGUUUUAGGAGAUUAGUCAUUAUUUUUUUAGGUUUUAGGAGACUAGUCAUUAUUUUUUAGGUUUUAGGAGAUUAGUCAUAAUUUUUUUAGGUUUUAGGAGACUAGGCAUUAUUUUUUUAGGUUUUAGGAGAUUAGUCAAUAUUUUUUUCAUUUUAAGAUCUAGGUUUUAGGAGACUAGUCAUUUUUUUUUUAGGUUUUAGGAGAUUAGCCAUUAUUUUUUUGUUUUAAGAUUUAGGUUUUAGGAGACUAGAGUCAUUAUUCUCAUUCAGCAUAAAAGACUAGAUUCAUUAUUCUUAUACAGUAUAGACGACAGUAAAGACAAGGACAAAACAAGAAACAAUGGAAAAAGUGAAACAAAUGCAGGAUGAGAAAGCUACGAAUAAGCGACUGAAAAUGAAGGAAUGCGGCAGAGAAUGUUUUCAAAAGGUAUCACAUCUAUAUAUGCCUUAGCUAACAAUUUGCCGUCUGCUUUCUGGAUCAUAUAGGUGGAAAAAAUGUGUGGAAAAAGCUAUAAAUAAGUUGCUUCACAGUCUGACUUUGAAGAAACACGAGUUCAGAGUGGGAGGAAGAAACAUGUUGUGAAUCGCUUGUGUAAGUAUGCUGGGAAUGGGAAAUAUCUGGGAUGUUUUGAGAGAGCAGGAACCGUAACAUGUGAAAACUGCAUGACACCAGAACUGGAAACCAUCUAAAACCAAGCCUAGGAAAGAUUUAACAACUUUUCACCCAAGGACGAGCUUUUGAGAAAUAAUAAUAAGACGGAGAGAAAUACGCAGGCUGGUAGAACAGAUAAUCUUUUACACAGAUGAAAGUAGAAGAGGGUUGAAAAAGAUCUUCCGUCGUGAAAUGUAAUAUAAAGAAGUUAGUUAAUCUUCCUCGAGUCUCAAUGCUUGGAAAAGGGGACCAUAUUAUCCUCAUUCUAAAAACUGGAAAAAGGGAGGAUUCAUAGAGGAAAGAGCAGGAUUAAUGGAGGAAAAGGCAGGAUUAAUGGAGGUAAGGGCAGGAUUAAUGGAGGAAAAGGAAGGAUAUUAGUAAGGAAAAUCACAGCAUGCUAAACCAAAGUGCACAAAAAUCACAUUCGCUAAAAAAGUGCCUCAAAAAAUGGAGUAAAGCCACAAGAUACUGAUUAUGGAUGCAAGAAAAAAUAAAAAGAAGGUAAGAAAGGAGAGAAAAAAAGGGGACAACAUGAGCACAAUAAGGACAACAAAUAAAAUGUAUAAACGUCGUAGAAUAUCACGGCAUUUUUAGAGGAGAAAUAAAAUAAUAGGAGAGGGAUGAAUACAAGAGUCUCAGUGACACUACAGAGUAAAGGAAGAGAAGAAAAGAGAAGGAUAAGGUGAACAAACAAUUAGCAUACAAGAAAAAAAGGGGAAAUGAGAGUAAACAAACAUGGAAGCUGGGUAAACAAAGGAGGGAGGGAGAAAACAAAGGAAGUAGGGGAAGAGAAGAAGAAAAAAAGGAAGAAUAGUGGGCAAACAAGAUACGUAUAAGACAAGAAAAAUAGGGAAAACAAGAGUAAACAAAUAUGCAAGAUGGGUAAACAAAAGAGAGAGAGGAAGAGAAAAAAUCAUAACACUAAACAAGAAAAGGAAAAGAAGGAAAAAAGAAGGAAAACUGGAUAAACAAGAAACACAUAGGACAAGAAAAUUAGGGAAAACAAGAGUAAACAAAUAUACAAGAUGGGUAAACAAGAGAGAGGAAGAGAAAAAAUCAUAACACUAAACAAGAAAAGGAAAAGAAGAAAGAAAACUGGAUAAACAAGAAAAACAUAAGACAAGAAAAUUAGGGAAAACAAGAGUAAACAAAUAUACAAGAUGGGUAAACAAGAGAGAAAGAGGGAGAGAAAAAAUAUAACACUAAAUAAGGAAAGGAAAAGAAGGAAAACUGGAUAAACAAGAAAAACAUAAGACGAGAAAAUUAGGGAAAACAAGAGUAAACAAAUAUACAAGAUGGGUAAACAAGAGAGAGGAAGAGAAAAAAUCAUAACACUAAACAAGAAAAGGAAAAGGAAAAAAAAAAAAAAAAACUGGAUAAACAAGAAACACAUAGGACAAGAAAAUUAGGGAAAACAAGAGUAAACAAAUAUACAAGAUGGGUAAACAGGAGAGAGAGAGAGGGAAAGAAAAAAAUAUUACACUAAAUAAGGAAAGGAAAAGAAGGAAAAAAUAAGGAAAACUGGAUAAACAAGAAACACAUAAGACAAGAAAAUUAGGGAAAACAAGAGUAAACAAAUAUACAAGAUGGGUAAACAAAAGAGAGAGAGGAAGAGAAAAAAUCAUAACACUAAACAAGAAAAGGAAAAGAAGGAAAAAAGAAAGAAAACUGGAUAAACAAGAAAAACAUAAGACAAGAAAAUUAGGAAAAACAAGAGUAAACAAAUAUACAAGAUGGGUAAACAGGAGAGAGAGAGAGAGAGAGGGAAAGAAAAAAAAUAUUACACUAAGGAAAGGAAAAAAGAAGGAAAACUGGAUAAACAAGAAACACAUAAGACAAGAAAAUCAAGAGUAAACAAAUAUGCAAGAUGGGUAAACAAGAGAGAGAGGGGGAAAGAAAAAAAUAUUACACUAAAUAAGGAAAGGAAAAGAAGGAAAAAAGAAAGAAAACUGGAUAAACAAGAAAAACAUAAGACAAGAAAAUUAGGGAAAACAAGAGUAAACAAAUAUACAAGAUGGGUAAACAAAAGAGAGAGAGAGAGAGAGAGAGAGAGAGAGAGAGAGAGAGAGAGAGAGAGAGAGAGAGAGAGAGAGAGAGAGAGAGAGAGAGAGAGAGAGAGAGAGAGAGAGAGAGAGAGAGAGAGAGAGAGGAGGAAGAAAAAAAAUAAUAGUAAUAGAGAAAGCAAAGUCCAUAAACAAGAGAAAAAAAUGAAUAAGAGGAGUAAACAAAUAAGCAAGGUGGGCAAACAAGGGAAGAAAAAAUAACGAGUAAGAGAAAAGAAAGCAAGGGAAUAGAAAAAAAAAAGUGGAUAGAUAAAAUAACUCAGUAAAAAAAGAGAGAAAGAGAAAACAUGAAUAAUUAGCAUACAAAAAAGAAAGAAAACGAGAGUAAACAAACAUGAAAGGUGGAUAAACAAGGGAGAGAGGGAGAGGGAGGAAAAAACAUGAGGAAGAGAGGGAAAAGAAGUAAAAAGAAGGAAAACUGGAUAAACAAGAAACACAUAAGACAUAAAGGAGAGGGAGGGAGAAAUAAAGCAUAAGAAGGAAGAGAGGGGAAAGAAGUAAAAAGAAGGAAAACUGGAUAAACAAGAAACACAUAAGACAUAAGGGAGAGAGAGAGAGAAAUAAAACAUAAGGUAGAAGAGAGGGGAAAGAAGUAAAAAGAAGGAAAACUGGAUAAACAAGAAACACAUAAGACAUAAGGGAGAGAGAGAGAGAGAAAUAAAACAUAAGGAGGAAGAGAGGGGAAAGAAGUAAAAAGAAGGAAAACUGGAUAAACAAGAAACACAUAAGACAUAAAGGAGAGAGAGAGGGAGAAAUAAAACAUAAGAAGGAAGAGAGGGGAAAGAAGUAAAAAGAAGGAAAACUGGAUAAACAAGAAACAUAAGACAUAAGGGAGAGGGAGAGGGAGAGGGAGAAGAAGACACCGACGGCAAAUAUAUGUGAAAGGUGGGGUAGCAGGACAAAAAAUUAGAUUACGAGAAAGUGAAUAUAUUUUACGGAUGAGGAUAUGAAAUAGAAAGCAUAAAAAAUUAGCAAACAUACACAGACACAUAAAAA